AUACGUAGGUGGCAAGCGUUGUCCGGAAGUUACUGGGCGUAAAGGAUGCGUAGGCGGAUAUGUAAGUCAGAUGUGAAAUACCCGGGCUCAACUUGGGUGCCGCAUUUGAAACUGCAUGUCUAGAGUGCGGGAGAGGAAAGUGGAAUUCCUAGUGUAGCGGUGAAAUGCGUAGAGAUUAGGAAGAACACCAGUGGCGAAGGCGACUUUCUGGACCGUAACUGACGCUGAGGCAUGAAAGCGUGGGUAGC
rnacentral:rRNA from 1 species